GACGAACGCUGGCGGCGUGCUUAACACAUGCAAGUCGAACGAGACGAUUGGAAGCUUGCUUUUAAAAGUCGAGUGGCAAACGGGUGAGUAACGCGUAGACAACCUGCCUUUGAGAUGGGGACAACAGUUCGAAAGGACUGCUAAUACCGAAUGUUGUAUAUUUUCCACAUGGAAGAUAUAUUAAAGAUGGCCUCUAUUUAUAAGCUAUCGCUCAAAGAUGGGUCUGCGUCUGAUUAGCUGGUUGGUGGGGUAACGGCCUACCAAGGCGACGAGCAGUAGCCGGGCUGAGAGGACGAACCGCCACAUUGGGACUGAGACACGGCCCAGACUCCUACGGGAGGCAGCAGUGGGGAAUCUUCCACAAUGGACGAAAGUCUGAUGGAGCAACGCCGCGUGAGUGAAGAAGGGUUUCGGCUCGUAAAGCUCUGUUGUCGGGGACGAAUGUGCAGUAUUUGAAUAAAGUACUGUAACGACGGUACCCGACGAGGAAGCCACGGCUAACUACGUGCCAGCCGCCGCGGUAA
rnacentral:rRNA from 1 species